UACGUAGGGUGCGAGCGUUGUUCGGAAUUAUUGGGCGUAAAGAGCUCGUAGGCGGUUUGCUGCGUCGGCCGUGAAAACCUGCAGCUUAACUGCGGGCUUGCGGUUGAUACGGGCGGGCUAGAGUUCGGUAGGGGAGAGUGGAAUUCCUGGUGUAGCGGUGAAAUGCGCAGAUAUCAGGAGGAACACCGGUGGCGAAGGCGGGUCUCUGGGCCGAUACUGACGCUGAGGAGCGAAAGCGUGGGGAGCGAACAGG
rnacentral:rRNA from 1 species